rnacentral:tRNA from 1 species
GGCCGCCUGGCGAAAUGGUAUCGCGUCUGACUACGAUUAGUAUGUAUCAGGAGAUUGCAGGUUCGAGCCCUGCGGUGGUCA